AAAGCUACCGAUAGAGAAGAGUACCGUGAGGGAAAGGUGAAAAGAACCCCGGGAGGGGAGUGAAAUAGAACUGAAACCGUAGACUUACAAGCAGUCAAAGCCGCGAUUUAUUGCGGUGAUGGCGUGCCUUUUGCAUAAUGAACCUGCGAGUUAUCAUAUCUAGCAAGAUUAAAGCAUAGAAGUGCUGGAGUCGAAGCGAAAGCGAGUCUUAAAAGGGCGAUUUAGUUAGAUGUGGUAGACCCGAAGCCGAGUGAUCUAUUUAUGGCCAGGCUGAAGCUUGGGUAAAACCAAGUGGAGGGCCGAACUCUAGUCUGUUUAAAAAGGCAGGGAUGAGCUGUGAAUAGGAGUGAAAGGCUAAACAAACUCGGAGAUAGCUGGUUCUCCCCGAAAUGGAUUUAAGUUCAGCCUUAUUUUAGUUUAAUAGAGGUAGAGCACUAAUUGAGCUAGGGCCUGUCAAAGGGUACCAAACUCAGUUAAACUCCGAAUGCUAUUAAAUGAUGAAUGGGAGUGAGACUAUGGGCGAUAAGGUUCAUAGUCGAGAGGGAAACAACCCAGACCAACAGCUAAGGUCUCAAAAAUGUGUUAAGUGGAAAAGGAGGUUUAGGUACGUAAACAGCCAGGAGGUUGGCUUAGAAGCAGCCAUACCUUUAAAGAGUGCGUAAUAGCUCACUGGUCGAGUACUUAAGCGCCGAUAAUGUAACGGGGCUAAACACAUUACCGAAGCUUUGGAUCUUAACGAAAGUUAAGAUGGUAGGGGAGCGUUCUGUAAGCCAGAGAAGUUAAGCUGGAAAGCUUGAUGGAGGUAUCAGAAGUGAGAAUGCAGGUAUGAGUAACGAAAAAAUGGGUGAGAUCCCCAUUCGCCGAAAACCUAAGGUUUCCUGGGUAAAGGUCGUCUUCCCAGGGUUAGUCGGCCCCUAAGGCAAAACUGAAAAGUGUAGUCGAUGGGAAACGGGUUAAUAUUCCCGUACCUCUUAUAGUUUCGAUGGAGUGACGCAUGAGGUUAACUACUGCUAGGCGAUGGUUGUCCUAGUUUAAGCAUUAAGGCGAUGAUCUUAAUAGGAAAAUCCGUUAGGAGAGCUAAGAUGU
rnacentral:rRNA from 1 species